UACGUAGGGGGCUAGCGUUGUCCGGAUUUAUUGGGCGUAAAGAGCGUGUAGGCGGCCAGGUAGGUCUGCUGUGAAAACUCGAGGCUCAACCUCGAGAUGUCGAUGGAAACCGUCUGGCUAGAGUCCGGAAGAGGAGUGUGGAAUUCCUGGUGUAGCGGUGAAAUGCGCAGAUAUCAGGAAGAACACCUAUGGCGAAGGCAGCACUCUGGGACGGUACUGACGCUGAGACGCGAAAGCGUGGGGAGCAAACAGG
rnacentral:rRNA from 1 species